UACGAAGGUGGCAAGCGUUGUUCGGAUUUACUGGGCGUACAGGGAGCGUAGGCGGUUGGAUAAGUCCUCCGUGAAAUCUCCAGGCUUAACCUGGAAAGUGCAGAGGGGACUGUUCAGCUAGAGGAUGGGAGAGGAGCGCGGAAUUCCCGGUGUAGCGGUGAAAUGCGUAGAGAUCGGGAGGAAGGCCGGUGGCGAAGGCGGCGCUCUGGAACAUUUCUGACGCUGAGGCUCGGAAGCGUGGGGAGCAAACAGG
rnacentral:rRNA from 1 species